rnacentral:rRNA from 1 species
GAUGAACGCUGGCGGCGUGCCUAAUACAUGCGAGUAGAACGCUGAAGGAGGAGCUUGCUCUUCUGGAUGAGUUGCGAACGGGUGAGUAACGCGUAGGUAACCUGCCUGGUAGCGGGGGAUAACUAUUGGAAACGAUAGCUAAUACCGCAUGACAACAGUUAUUGCAUGAUAACUGUUUAAAAGGGGCAACUGCUCCACUACCAGAUGGACCUGCGUUGUAUUAGCUAGUUGGUGAGGUAACGGCUCACCAAGGCGACGAUACAUAGCCGACCUGAGAGGGGGGUCCGCCACCCUGGGACUGGGACCAGGCCCAGGCUUCUAAGGGGGGCAGCAGUAGGGAAUCUUCGGCAAUGGACGGAAGUCUGACCGAGCAACGCCGCGGGAGUGAAGAAGGUUUUCGGAUCGUAAAGCUCUGUUGUAAGGGAAGAAAGAGUGUGAGAGUGGAAAGUUCACACUGUGACGGUAUCUUAACAGAAAGGGACGGCUAACUACGUG